CCUUAUCAACCUACGAUAGCAAUUUAAAUGGAGAAUAAUCAAAAUUUUUUUCGCUUGGCAUGGAGUAUUUGGCUUUCUAUACGACCCUAUUUACAGCGUAGUUAUCUCAAACAAUUUUCAACUUUCGUUCAGGUCAGUUAGGGCAGAAUCUCUUGGACGUCUCAACUACGCACUUCAGUCCACAGUCUUCUAGUGGACCUUGUUCAACAUUUCACAUUUUUAAAAAUGCACGCUUCUCUCUUCAACUAUCGGACCUAUUAUGUACGAAACCUCAUAGACGACUGAUGCAUCUGCCGGUAGACGGUUGUAACUUUUUCGAAUUCGGAACUCAUGGCAUGUUGAGGGAGCCGCAAGUUAAAGCUAAUCACUUCAGUGUUAUACUGCAAUUUGAAGCAGCUUUACCUCACUAAUUCACCUGUUCGCUCUUCACGGCUGUUACCAUGCUAUCCCUAUAUCAGAAAGGUGUGCACAUUGAAAAAUUCUGGUUUCUUGGAAGCGCACAUCUCGUGGGUUCUCUGCCCAAGAUACACUACACCCGUAUAGCUUUCUUUCUCUCCAGCUUUUCAUUAAAUAUUCAUCCUUCACUUAUUCAUUAUGUAUUUUUACAAAACUUGAGUUGGACGCCCGCCUUCACCGGAUGUAUAGUACUAAUUAGAAAGCUGGGAACCUUAAACGACAAUAUUAAAACUUGCAUAUAUAUAUAUAUAUAUAUAUAUAUAUGUGUUAAGGCAUUUUAAGGCUCUGCGACCGCAAUUGAUAAAAAUAUAUAUUCUGUAUGCAAAAGCAUGGAUUACGCGGCCUGAACGAACUAGCAACAUGCUCAAACUGAGGGUUUAAACAAAACCGGAUCUCGAAUACGUGGCAAGUUGGCGACCCAAGUGGCAGUUGGUAUAAUAGAGCCUUCUACUAUAUUUAACCCGAGAUACUUUCGUUUCAAAUAAAAAGUACGUUGAUUUCGAUCAUUUUUGGCAUAACGUUUGUCCGUCUUAACGUUUAACGCAUUGUUCUU